ACGCUAGCUACAGGCUUAACACAUGCAAGUCGAGGGGAAACGGCAUUAAGUGCUUGCACUUUUUGGACGUCGACCGGCGCACGGGUGAGUAACGCGUAUCCAACCUUCCCAUGACUAAGGGAUAACCUGCCGAAAGGCAGACUAAUACCUUAUGGUCUUCACUGACGGCAUCAGAUGUGAAGUAAAGAUUUAUCGGUUAUGGAUGGGGAUGCGUCUGAUUAGCUUGUUGGCGGGGUAACGGCCCACCAAGGCAACGAUCAGUAGGGGUUCUGAGAGGAAGGUCCCCCACAUUGGAACUGAGACACGGUCCAAACUCCUACGGGAGGCAGCAGUGAGGAAUAUUGGUCAAUGGGCGAGAGCCUGAACCAGCCAAGUAGCGUGCAGGAUGACGGCCCUAUGGGUUGUAAACUGCUUUUGUAUGGGGAUAAAGUCAAUCACGUGUGAUUGUUUGCAGGUACCAUACGAAUAAGGACCGGCUAAUUCCGUGCCAGCAGCCGCGGUAAUACGGAAGGUCCGGGCGUUAUCCGGAUUUAUUGGGUUUAAAGGGAGCGUAGGCUGGAGAUUAAGUGUGUUGUGAAAUGUAGACGCUCAACGUCUGACUUGCAGCGCAUACUGGUUUCCUUGAGUACGCACAACGUUGGCGGAAUUCGUCGUGUAGCGGUGAAAUGCUUAGAUAUGACGAAGAACUCCGAUUGCGAAGGCAGCUGACGGGAGCGCAACUGACGCUGAAGCUCGAAGGUGCGGGUAUCGAACAGGAUUAGAUACCCUGGUAGUCCGCACAGUAAACGAUGGAUGCCCGCUGUUGGUACCUGGUAUCAGCGGCUAAGCGAAAGCAUUAAGCAUCCCACCUGGGGAGUACGCCGGCAACGGUGAAACUCAAAGGAAUUGACGGGGGCCCGCACAAGCGGAGGAACAUGUG
rnacentral:rRNA from 1 species